GACGGCGGAUGCAAGCGUUAUCCGGAAUGCUUGGGCGUAACGCGUCCGCAGGUGGCAGUUCAAGUCUGCUGUCAAAGACCGGGGCUUAACUUCGGAAAGGCAGUGGAAACUGAACAGCUAGAGUAUGGUAGGGGCAGAGGGAAUUCCUGGUGUAGCGGUGAAAUGCGUAGAUAUCAGGAAGAACAUCGGUGGCGAAGGCGCUCUGCUGGACCAUAACUGACACUCAGGGACGAAAGCUAGGGGAGCGAAUGGG
rnacentral:rRNA from 1 species